rnacentral:tmRNA from 1 species
GGGGGCGUACUGGUUUCGACGGGAUUGUUGAAGCUGGAAUAGCGGGUAGAGGGUUCUCGUUGGCCUCUUUAAAAAACGAGAGUUAAAAAUAAACGCUAAUAACGAAAGUAAUUUCAGAUUAGCUGCUGCGUAAAUAACGCAGCCCGUCGGUCCGGGGUUCCUGCACCUCGGGUAGCCGGCGUCAUAAGUCAGGGAACCAGCCGGGCAAAGCUUUGAGUCCGGUGGGAUUUAUGAAGCUACCAAGUUAUAAAGCCUGUUCAUGGGCGUUAUAAUGAGGGAAUUAUAAAACAUGAACUGCACCCGGAGAAGUUCAUGUGGAUACGGUUUCGGACACGAGUUCGACUCUCGUCGCCUCCACCA